UACCCUUGACAUGGCUGGAACCUCCGAGAGAUUGGAGGGUGCCCGAAAGGGAGCCAGUACACAGGUGCUGCAUGGCUGUCGUCAGCUCGUGUCGUGAGAUGUUGGGUUAAGUCCCGCAACGAGCGCAACCCUUGUCAUUAGUUGCUACGAAAGGGCACUCUAAUGAGACUGCCGGUGACAAACCGGAGGAAGGUGGGGAUGACGUCGUAUCUCACUG
rnacentral:misc_RNA from 1 species